rnacentral:lncRNA from 1 species
CAAAGGCCCCCAGCUGCCUGGCCCCUGGCCCACUAACCCAGGCAUGCUCCUUCCAGCACUGGGCAGAGGAGUCAGGAAGAUGCCCUUCCUCACCCCCACUGACGCCACCUCUCCAGGGACCUUAACGCAGGGGCUGGGAAUGGAAUCGGAAGCUAGAAUGAGCAGGCAGCAGCAGCUCCCCUAGGUAUCUGCCUCUGAGAGGACCUGAGGACAGAGGCGAGGCCCAAGGCAGAGGCCGGAGUAGGGCCCCGCUUCACCUGGGGCCUCAAAGGUGUCGUUUAUUCAUUUGGCAAAUCUCCACUGAGUGAGGAAAUGGAUGGGUGAGAGGAUGGGAUUAGAGAAUGAACAAAUGUCACCUGCAUAUUUUCCCAAUUCCAGCCUGAGCAGGAACCCGGCAGGAGCCAAGAGUCCUUUCAAGGUGGGAGAACACCAGGUAUUGCUGAUGGGGAAAGUGAGGUCUGGGAGGCUGGGUUGGGCCCAGUGGGGACAUGCAGAUGGUGGUGGGAACGGUCAGAGCCAGGUAGGUGGGCAGGUGUCAGACAGCCAUGAGGGAGGUGCUGCUGAGAAUGUGCACGGCCACAGUGCCUGGCAGGUUGCUGGGCUGCCGGCUAUUUCGGUCCCGGAGGUGGAGGGUAUGCAGGGCCUGGAGGUUGUCCGGGUCAGCCUUUAGGUGCACCUGGCCCAGAAAUUCAUCCUUCAGCAC